rnacentral:rRNA from 1 species
AGGGAUCAUUGCUGGAACGCGCCCCAGGCGCACCCAGAAACCCUUUGUGAACUUAUACCUUACUGUUGCCUCGGCGCAUGCUGGCCCCCUCGGGGCCCCCUGGAGACAGGGAGCAGGCACGCCGGCGGCCAAGUUAACUCUUGUUUUUACACUGAAACUCUGAGAAAAAACACAAAUGAAUCAAAACUUUCAACAACGGAUCUCUUGGUUCUGGCAUCGAUGAAGAACGCAGCGAAAUGCGAUAAGUAAUGUGAAUUGCAGAAUUCAGUGAAUCAUCGAAUCUUUGAACGCACAUUGCGCCCUCUGGUAUUCCGGAGGGCAUGCCUGUUCGAGCGUCAUUUCAACCCUCAAGCAUUGCUUGGUGUUGGGGCACUGCUUUUAACGAAGCAGGCCCUGAAAUCUAGUGGCGAGCUCGCUAGGACCCCGAGCGUAGUAGUUAAACCCUCGCUUUGGAAGGCCCUGGCGGUGCCCUGCCGUUAAACCCCCAACUUUUGAAAAUUUGACCUCGGAUCAGGUAGGAAUACCCGCUGAACUUAA